UACGGAAGGCAGCAGUGGGGAAUAUUGCACAAUGGGCGAAAGCCUGAUGCAGCUAUGCCGCGUGUAUGAAGAAGGCCUUAGGGUUGUAAAGUACUUUCAUCGGGGAGGAAAAAACAAAACUAAUAAUUUUAUUUCUUGACGUUACCCGAAAAAGAAGCACCGGCUAACUCCGUGCCAGCAGCCGCGGUAAUACGGAGGGUGCUAGCGUUAAUCAGAAUUACUGGGCGUAAAGAGCACGUAGGUGGUUUUUUUAAGUCAGAUGUGAAAUCCCUGGGCUUAACCUAGGAACUGCAUUUUGAAACUGAAAUACUAGAGUAUCGUAGAGGGAGGUAGAAUUCUAGGUGUAGCGGUGAAAUGCGUAGAUAUCUGGAGGAAUACCUGUGGCGAAAGCGGCCUCCUAAACGAAUACUGACACUGAGGGUGCGAAAGCGUGGGGA
rnacentral:rRNA from 1 species